UACAGAGGUGGCAAGCGUUGUUCGGAAUUACUGGGCGUAAAGGGCGCGUAGGCGGCCUUCUAAGUCAGACGUGAAAUCCCCCGGCUUAACCUGGGAACUGCGUCUGAUACUGGAGGGCUUGAGUAUGGGAGAGGGAUGUAGAAUUCCAGGUGUAGCGGUGAAAUGCGUAGAUAUCUGGAGGAACACCGGUGGCGAAGGCGGCAUCCUGGACCAACACUGACACUGAGGAGCGAAAGCCAGGGGAGCAAACGGG
rnacentral:rRNA from 1 species